rnacentral:rRNA from 1 species
UAUUAAACCUAGGAAUUGAUACCCUAUUAUUAAAAAUUAAUUUUAAAUACUAAAAUAGUAGAUAAUAAUUUAUUGAAACUUAAAUAAGUUGGCGGUAUUUUAGUUCAUUUAGAGGAAUCUGUCUAAUAAUUGAUAAUCCACGAAUAAAUUUACUUAAUUUAUAAUUUUGUAUAUCGUUGUUAAAAAAAUAUUUAUUAAUAAAAAUAAUAUUUUAAUAUUAUAAAAAAAAUUAGUUCAGAUCAAGAUGCAGAUAAUAAUUAAGAAUAAGAUGGAUUACAAUAAUUAAUAAAAUUAAAUGAAUAAUAUUUUGAAAGUAAUAUUAUAGGUGGAUUUGGAUUUUACGGUCGGUCGUGGUCUCGCUUUCGGAACCGG